rnacentral:tRNA from 1 species
GGGCGAUUAGCUCAGUUGGUUCAGAGCACCUGGUUUACACCCAGUGGGUCGGGAGUUCGAGUCUCUCAUCGCCC